rnacentral:rRNA from 2 species
CAGUCGAGCGGAUCUUCAUUAGCUUGCUUUUGAAGAUCAGCGGCGGACGGGUGAGUAACACGUGGGCAACCUGCCUGUAAGACUGGGAUAACUUCGGGAAACCGGAGCUAAUACCGGAUAAUCCUUUCCCUCACAUGAGGGAAAGCUGAAAGACGGUUUCGGCUGUCACUUACAGAUGGGCCCGCGGCGCAUUAGCUAGUUGGUGAGGUAACGGCUCACCAAGGCAACGAUGCGUAGCCGACCUGAGAGGGUGAUCGGCCACACUGGGACUGAGACACGGCCCAGACUCCUACGGGAGGCAGCAGUAGGGAAUCUUCCGCAAUGGACGAAAGUCUGACGGAGCAACGCCGCGUGAACGAUGAAGGCUUUCGGGUCGUAAAGUUCUGUUGUCAGGAAAGAACAAGUACCGA